UACGUAGGGUGCGAGCGUUGUCCGGAAUUAUUGGGCGUAAAGAGCUCGUAGGCGGUCUGUCGCGUCGAUCGUGAAAACUUGGGGCUUAACCCUGAGCUUGCGGUCGAUACGGGCAUGACUGGAGUUCGGCAGGGGAGACUGGAAUUCCUGGUGUAGCGGUGAAAUGCGCAGAUAUCAGGAGGAACACCGGUGGCGAAGGCGGUUGGCUGGGCCGUUGCUGACACUGAUGCGCGACAGCGUGGGGAGCAAACAGG
rnacentral:rRNA from 1 species